rnacentral:rRNA from 1 species
AGUGAACGCUGGCGGUAGGCCUAACACAUGCAAGUCGAACGGCAGCACAGUAAGAGCUUGCUCUUACGAGUGGCGAGUGGCGGACGGGUGAGGAAUACAUCGGAAUCUACUUUUUCGUGGGGGAUAACGUAGGGAAACUUACGCUAAUACCGCAUACUACCUACGGGUGAAAGCAGGGGAUCUUCGGACCUUGCGCGAUUGAAUGAGCCGAUGUCGGAUUAGCUAGUUGGCGGGGUAAAGGCCCACCAAGGCGACGAUCCGUAGCUGGUCUGAGAGGAUGAUCGGCCACACUGGAACUGAGGCACGGUCCAGACUCCUACGGGAGGCAGCAGUGGGGAAUAUUGGACAAUGGGCGCAAGCCUGAUCCAGCCAUACCGCGUGGGUGAAGAAGGCCUUCGGGUUGUAAAGCCCUUUUGUUGGGAAAGAAAAGCAGCAGGUUAAUACCCCGCUGUUCUGACGGUACCCAAAGAAUAAGCACCGGCUAACUUCGUG